GACGAACGCUGGCGGCGUGCUUAACACAUGCAAGUCGAGCGGUAAGGCCCUUCGGGGGUACACGAGCGGCGAACGGGUGAGUAACACGUGGGUGACCUGCCCUCAGCUCUGGGAUAAGCCCGGGAAACUGGGUCUAAUACUGGAUAUGACUCCAUGACGCAGUGUUGUGGGUGGAAAGCCUUGUGCGGCUGGGGGAUGGGCCCGCGGCCUAUCAGCUUGGUUGGUGGGUGAUGGCCUACCAAGGCGACGACGGGUAGCCGGCCUGAGAGGGCGACCGGCCAC
rnacentral:rRNA from 1 species